ensembl:snRNA U6 U6 spliceosomal RNA
GUGCUUACUUAGCACAUAUACUAAAAUUGGAAUGAUACAGAGAUUAGCAUGGCCCCUGCACAAGAAUGAUACACAAAUUUAUGAAGCAUUUCAUAUUUUU